CCCAAGGGAAACAGGCAUGGCGGGCUAAGCUGCUGUGUCGAAAGGGAAACAACCCAGACUCUCGGUUAAGGCCUCUAAAUCUUGACUAAGUUGGAAAGGAAGUUACUCAUCCGUUGACACCCAGGAGGUUGGCUUAGAAGCAGCCACCCUUUAAAGAAAGCGUAACAGCUCACUGGCUGAUGGAUGGUAGCGCCGAAAAUGUAUCGAGGAUUAAGUCAAGUGCCGAAACCGGAGCUUUGUACUUUUUUGUACAAGGGGUAGGGGAGCGUUCUAUACGCUGUGAAGUUUUGCUGUGAGGCGAGGUGGAGUGUAUGGAAGUGAGAAUGCCGGUAUGAGUAGCGAUAAGUCCAGUGAGAAUCUGGACCGCCGAAUACCCAAGGUUUCCGUCGCAAUGUUCGUCAACGACGGGUUAAUCGGUUCCUAAGGCGAGGCCCUAAAGGCGUAGUCGAUGGACAAGACGUUAAUAUUCGUCUAUUUGUUUUAAAUCGCCAGUCCCUUCGGGGAUAGCUGGGGAUUGACCGAAUUGGAGUUUUGGGCCCCUUGCAUGAAGUGGGGUGUAAGCUGUUAAGUAGUUCUGGUUGGAAAAUCCACUAGAGUGAUUAACUAAGCAGUGAUACAGAGUAGUCCGCCUUCGGGCAGGCUACAAUUCAAGAGCCUUCAGUUUGCAAGAAAAGAUUCGUAGUGAGAUUUAAAGCAAGCCGUACCGAAAACCGACACAGGUGGGUUGGUCGAGUAGACUAAGGCGAGCGAGAGAAAGAGGUUUAAGGAACUCGGCAAACAAGCUAGGGGUAAGUUCGCAAGAUCCCUUGCCAGUGUUUCUUCGGAAACGUCUGGCCGCAGCUAAAGAUUGCCAAUCGACUGUUUAUCAAAAACACAGGUCUCUGCAAAGCCGCAAGGCUAAGUAUAGGGGCUGACGCCUGCCCAGUGCUGGUAAGUUAACGGGAUACGUGGUCUCCUUCGGGAGUCUUGCGUUGAACCGAAGCUCCAGUAAACGGCAGCAAUAACUAUAAUUGUUCUACGGUACCGAAGUUCCUUGUCGUGUAAGUUACGACCUGCAGGAAUGGCGUCACGAGUUGGCAACUGUCUUGAACCUUUACUCGGCGAAAUUGCGAUGGCUGUGAAGACGCGGCCUAUUUACACCAGGACAGAAAGACCCCGUGGAGCUUUACUGCAACUUGACAUCGACCUUGGAUUUACCAAUUGUCUAGAAUAGGAGGGACCCUUUCGGGGGGCCAGUGUAAUACCUCUCUUUGGUAGAUUUCAAGUCUUACCCAAAGGCCUUGCAAGCAGGUCUGGGGACAAUGUUUGGUGGGCAGUUUCGCUGGGGCGGUGUCCUGCUAAAGAGUAACGCAGGAGCACAAAGGUUGGCUUAGUAC
rnacentral:rRNA from 1 species